CAGCAGCCGCGGGAAUGCGUAGGGUGCGAGCGUUAAUCGGAAUUACUGGGCGUAAAGCGUGCGCAGGCGGCUUUGCAAGACAGAUGUGAAAUCCCCGGGCUCAACCUGGGAACUGCAUUUGUGACUGCAAGGCUAGAGUGCGGCAGAGGGAGAUGGAAUUCCGCGUGUAGCAGUGAAAUGCGUAGAUAUGCGGAGGAACACCGAUGGCGAAGGCGAUCUCCUGGGCCUGCACUGACGCUCAUGCACGAAAGCGUGGGGAGCAAACAGGAUUAGAUACCCCCGUAGUCCCUGUCUCUUAUAC
rnacentral:rRNA from 1 species